rnacentral:misc_RNA from 1 species
UCCCCCCUCAAACCUCGGGUUUGGUGUUGGACCCAAGUUGUGGUGAACAACUGGUCUCAAAGUUAAUGACGGCGUCCGUGGGACCCUCGGUGCAAGGAGCUUUAACUAGCACGCGUCGAGUAUCAAGGUUCCCCGGGCCCGGUCUUACCUUUAUUUUCUUAA